UACGUAGGGUGCGAGCGUUAAUCGGAAUUACUGGGCGUAAAGCGUGCGCAGGCGGUUAUGCAAGACAGAUGUGAAAUCCCCGGGCUCAACCUGGGAACUGCAUUUGUGACUGCAUAGCUGGAGUGCGGCAGAGGGGGAUGGAAUUCCGCGUGUAGCAGUGAAAUGCGUAGAGAUCGGGAGGAACAUCUGUGGCGAAGGCGACUACCUGGACCAGCACUGACACUGAGGCACGAAAGCGUGGGGAGCAAACAGG
rnacentral:rRNA from 1 species